rnacentral:misc_RNA from 1 species
UUUCCGUAGGUGAACCUGCGGAAGGAUCAUUAAAGAGUAAGGGUCCUCUAGGCCCGACCUCCCAACCCUUUGUUUACCAAACCAAUGUUGCUUCGGCGGGCCCGUCUUAGGACCGCCGGAGGACCGUCGAAACGUCCUCUGGCCCGCGCCCGUCGAUGGCCCUUAUUAUUAAACUCUGAACCAAACGUGUCCUGUCUGAGUGAUUAUUAUCAAAAUUAAAGCAAAGACUUUCAACAACGGAUCUCUUGGUUCUG